UGGGGAAUAUUGGACAAUGGGCGAAAGCCUGAUCCAGCCAUGCCGCGUGUGUGAAGAAGGUCUUCGGAUUGUAAAGCACUUUAAGUUGGGAGGAAGGGCAGUAAGUUAAUACCUUGCUGCUUUGACGUUACCGACAGAAUAAGCACCGGCUAACUCUGUGCCAGCAGCCGCGGUAAUACAGAGGGUGCAAGCGUUAAUCGGAAUUACUGGGCGUAAAGCGCGCGUAGGUGGUUUGUUAAGUUGGAUGUGAAAGCCCCGGGCUCAACCUGGGAAAUGCAUCCAAAACUGGCAAGCUAGAGUACGGUAGAGGGUGGUGGAAUUUCCUGUGUAGCGGUGAAAUGCGUAGAUAUAGGAAGGAACACCAGUGGCGAAGGCGACCACCUGGACUGAUACUGACACUGAGGUGCGAAAGCGUGGGGAGCAAACA
rnacentral:rRNA from 1 species